UUGAGGUCUGCUCGUCAGAGGAGCGGGGCAUAAUCUUCCAGACUAUAGGGGUUCUGUCUGGCUGAGGGCAAUUCUCCAGGGAAGGCAGUAGCUAAGAAUUUUAAACAGCCUGCGGAACGGCUGAGGGACAAGAACACCUGCCACUUUAUAAAGGGGAUCUGAGUGGGGCACCAAUAGCAUCCGAUGGCUACAUACGUAGGCAUAAAUUGGGGAGAGAUGGAAGUGGAGAAGAGUUUGAGGCAGUUCCUGGUGGUAUGGAGGACAAAGUGAAAACAGUUGAAAAGGAUUUUUGAAGACAGAAAAUAGUUGAAAAGCCUGUAUGUGCCGGGGCCCUGGACCACAGUAGGAAGUAACCAAGUAUGGCUGCCGUCGGUCAACUGAAAAGUCCUGUGCCUGUUGCUGUGGACAAUGAAUUUUGUUUGAAUCGAGGAAGACUCGGCCCAGGCUGGCACUUUACGUUCAAUAAAAAUAUUAACAGU